GUGGGGAAUAUUGGACAAUGGGCGCAAGCCUGAUCCAGCAACGCCGCGUGGAGGAAGAAGGUCUUCGGAUCGUAAACUCCUGUCAGAUGGGACGAAAAGGCGUCGGCGAAUAGUCGGCGCCGCUGACGGUACCAUCAGAGGAAGCCCCGGCUCACCCCGUGCCAGCAGCCGCGGUAAUACGGAGGGGGCUAGCGUUAUUCGGAAUUACUGGGCGUAAAGCGUGCGCAGGCGGUGAUGCAAGACAGAUGUGAAAUCCCCGGGCUUAACCUGGGAACUGCAUUUGUGACUGCAUCGCUGGAGUGCGGCAGAGGGGGAUGGAAUUCCGCGUGUAGCAGUGAAAUGCGUAGAUAUGCGGAGGAACACCGAUGGCGAAGGCAAUCCCCUGGGCCUGCACUGACGCUCAUGCACGAAAGCGUGGGGAGCAA
rnacentral:rRNA from 1 species